rnacentral:rRNA from 1 species
CCUACGGGUGGCUGCAGUGGGGAAUAUUGGACAAUGGGGGCAACCCUGAUCCAGCCAUGCCGCGUGUGUGAAGAAGGCCCUCGGGUUGUAAAGCACUUUCAGUGAGGAAGAACGCCUGGUGGUUAAUACCCAUCAGGAAAGACAUCACUCACAGAAGAAGCACCGGCUAACUCCGUGCCAGCAGCCGCGGUAAUACGGAGGGUGCGAGCGUUAAUCGGAAUUACUGGGCGUAAAGCGCGCGUAGGUGGCUUGAUAAGCCGGUUGUGAAAGCCCCGGGCUCAACCUGGGAACGGCAUCCGGAACUGUCAAGCUAGAGUGCAGGAGAGGAAGGUAGAAUUCCCGGUGUAGCGGUGAAAUGCGUAGAGAUCGGGAGGAAUACCAGUGGCGAAGGCGGCCUUCUGGACUGACACUGACACUGAGGUGCGAAAGCGUGGGUAGCAAACAGGAUUAGAUACCCGAGUAGGC